rnacentral:SRP_RNA from 1 species
AGCCGGGUAAGUCCUACACGACCAGCUCCCCCCGAACUCCGUCAGGUCUUGAUCGAAGCAGCGGUAGGGGGUCGUAGCGGUGCGAUGUAGUAAGCUUACCCU